CGAUUCCCAUACAUGUAACAGAGACGAGUCCAACAACCUGCGGUGAAACCGGCAAAUAAUUCCGAUGCCCCAUAAAGUCCAAACGAAUGGAGGAAGCAAUAAACUCUCGGAGUGGACUUGGUAGCCACCAUCAUUAGAGAGAAGAGAAUGGGCAAGUCAGACAUGGCGGCAUCACUUACGGAGCCCGCAGUACAAAGACAUCAGAGCCCAUUAUAAGAUAGAGCCGGAUGCCUGGGACAAAUCUCUUACAUAUCUAAGACAUGGCGCCUGACAGGGCGGGAGCAGAGUUUAAAGGUUUGCCAGCAGUACACACACCUGGACUUCCUUUCCUUUACAUCUCUGACCAAUAGCAAGACAAUACCUUCUCACAAGCCCUCCUCCUCUCUGCUUUGCCAUGACAUAGAGAUGCUGGAUGUCACAUAUAGACACAUGGAGGGUGUGGUUUGCACAACAUUUUUGACCUUUGUUUUUUUUUCACUGCCUGCUUUAACUUUUAAAAAGUGAGUGGGUCUUACUGAAAAGGGGGUUGGACCUCAUGUGGCCAUCUGAUUUACUGAAACUCCCAGAACUAUUAAGAACAGUGCACUUCUUCAUUAAUGCAGUUGAUCCUACUUUGUUGGGGGUUUAUAUAAGACCCAUAUACAGUCAUGGCCGUAAAUGUUGGCACCCCUUACAUAUUUCUCACAGAAAAGGAUUGCAGCAACACAUGUUUUGCUAUACACAUGUUUAUUCCCUUUGUGUGUAUUGGAACUAAACCAAAAAAGGGAGGAAAAAAGCAAAUUUGACAUAAUGUCACCAAACUCCAAAAAUGGGCUAGACAAAAUGAUUGGCACCCUUUCAAACUUGUGGAAAAAUGUGAUUGUUUCAAGUAUGUGAUGCUCCUUUUAACUCAUUUGGGGCAAGUAACAGGUGUGGGCAACAUAAAAAUCAAACCUGAAAGCAGAUAAAAAGGAGAGAAGUUCAAUUAGCCUUUGCAUUGUGUGUGUGUGCGCCACACUUAGUGUGGCAGCUCAAAGAUAGGGAUAAGAUGUCUUAGGGCCGGAAUACCCCUUUAACCUGGUUGUCUACUGAGCUAUGAUAACAACGGCACCCCCAGGAAUAGCAUUAUGUCUCCAACAGGAACUGGAUCAACUCGUACCGCCAUGGAAUCUAACCCCGAAGAGGAUCCACCACUGGUGUUUAGUUCCAUAAAGUUGUCUUUUUCACACAAUAACCUAAUGUCAGGUUAAGAAGAAAAAGUAAAAGGAUGAUACAUAAGUGCCCUACAGCGUGUCUUCCUCUUUCAGAACCAAAACACACACACACCCCAAAGACAAUAUGCCGUCAAAUAACAAUUCAAUUAAAUGGGCAAGUCAUCUAUCAUCAGGGCCCCGUGAUUAAAAUGUCGCCUGUUAUCAACACCAUCAUCCAUUAGCGGGAAGUCGGGCUGGAUAUCAAUGCGGCGUCUCAAGCAAAAUGAGGUGUGGCAAGUCUGAUUAAUCAGAUCUUAUUUACUCAAAUCUGGCAGAACGCUUCAAAACAGGAGCAAACUAGCAUGACAAGGCGCCGAGGAGAGAAAUGAGUGGCCGACCGGUGGGGAGGUGCGCUGUCAGGUGACGGAGGUGACAUUUGCAAUCCACAGGCAUCUGCUUUGGGUAUUAACCUUUUCAUAUCAAUCGGUCGCCUCUUACAUCUUUAUGUCUAGCAGGAGAUAAAAUUGAGAUGUUUUUUUGCUUUCGUUUAAACUACAGAAGAGCCGGAAGAGGAAAGGAAAUCAGUCAAACCGGCUUCAACCCUCAGGAGUCCAUAAUGGCAAGAAA